UACGUAGGUGGCAAGCGUUGUCCGGAAUUAUUGGGCGUAAAGCGGGCGCAGGCGGUUCUGUAAGUCUGAUGGGAAAGCCCACGGCUCAACCGUGGAGGGUCAUUGGAAACUGGGGGACUUGAGUACAGAAGAGAAGAGUGGAAUUCCACGUGUAGCGGUGAAAUGCGUAGAGAUGUGGAGGAACACCAGUGGCGAAGGCGACUCUCUGGGACGGUACUGACGCUGAGACGCGAAAGCGUGGGGAGCAAACAGG
rnacentral:rRNA from 1 species